UACAUGCAAGUCGAACGCGUCUCCGUUAAUGAUUUUAGGUGCUUGCACUUGAAAGAUUUAACAUUGAGACGAGUGGCGAACUGGUGAGUAACACGUGGGUAACCUGCCCUUGAAGUAGGGGAUAACACUUGGAAACAGGUGCUAAUACCGUAUAACAACCAAAACCACCUGGUUUUGGUUUAAAAGACGGCUUCGGCUGUCACUUUAGGAUGGACCCGCGGCGUAUUAGCUUGUUGGUAAGGUAACGGCCUACCAAGGCGAUGAUACGUAGCCGACCUGAGAGGGUAAUCGGCCACAUUGGGACUGAGACACGGCCCAAACUCCUACGGGAGGCAGCAGUAGGGAAUCUUCCACAAUGGACGAAAGUCUGAUGGAGCAACGCCGCGUGAGUGAUGAAGGGUUUCGGCUCGUAAAACUCUGUUGUUGGAGAAGAACAGGUGUCAGAGUAACUGUUGACAUCUUGACGGUAUCCAACCAGAAAGCCACGGCUAACUACGUGCCAGCAGCCGCGGUAAUACGUAGGUGGCAAGCGUUGUCCGGAUUUAUUGGGCGUAAAGCGAGCGCAGGCGGUUUUUUAGGUCUGAUGUGAAAGCCUUCGGCUUAACCGGAGAAGUGCAUCGGAAACCGGGAGACUUGAGUGCAGAAGAGGACAGUGGAACUCCAUGUGUAGCGGUGAAAUGCGUAGAUAUAUGGAAGAACACCAGUGGCGAAGGCGGCUGUCUGGUCUGUAACUGACGCUGAGGCUCGAAAGCAUGGG
rnacentral:rRNA from 1 species